ACUGUUUUGGUUCCUUAUGUUU
rnacentral:snRNA from 1 species